GGGUGAGUAAUGUCUGGGAAACUGCCUGAUGGAGGGGGAUAACUACUGGAAACGGUAGCUAAUACCGCAUAACGUCGCAAGACCAAAGUGGGGGACCUUCGGGCCUCAUGCCAUCAGAUGUGCCCAGAUGGGAUUAGCUAGUAGGUGGGGUAACGGCUCACCUGGGCGACGAUCCCUAGCUGGUCUGAGAGGAUGACCAGCCACACUGGAACUGAGACACGGUCCAGACUCCUACGGGAGGCAGCAGUGGGGAAUAUUGCACAAUGGGCGCAAGCCUGAUGCAGCCAUGCCGCGUGUAUGAAGAAGGCCUUCGGGUUGUAAGGUACUUUCAGCGGGGAGGAAGGCGAUAAGGUUAAUAACCUUGUCGAUUGACGUUACCCGCAGAAGAAGCACCGGCUAACUCCGUGCCAGCAGCCGCGGUAAUACGGAGGGUGCAAGCGUUAAUCGGAAUUACUGGGCGUAAAGCGCACGGAGGCGGUCUGUCAAGUCGGAUGUGAAAUCCCCGGGCUCAACCUGGGAACUGCAUUCGAAACUGGCAGGCUAGAGUCUUGUAGAGGGGGGUAGAAUUCCAGGUGUAGCGGUGAAAUGCGUAGAGAUCUGGAGGAAUACCGGUGGCGAA
rnacentral:rRNA from 1 species